rnacentral:lncRNA from 1 species
AAUCCAUAGAGAAGAAUGAGAAUUGAAUUCUAUAUAGAUUAAACCAUUUCCAUUCCAUUCUGAAAUUGAAAUUGGAAUGAGACUCCUUCCAAUUAAACAGUUGGAAUGAGAGUCACCAACUCUGAUUCCGAUUCUAGAUCCUUACGCACUCCAACCAAACAUUUCAAAAAGAUAAAGAAAGACCUUUGAACCACGCCACCAUGGUUAGAUGAUAAGGCCUUGGGCACGCUGAUUGGACCAGGGGAUCUGACUUGUAUCCACCAUUCAAAUACAUAACAUAUGAUG